rnacentral:rRNA from 1 species
AUUGAACGCUGGCGGCAUGCUUUACACAUGCAAGUCGAACGGUAACAGGCCUUCGGGCGCUGACGAGUGGCGAACGGGUGAGUAAUGCAUCGGAACGUGCCCAGUCGUGGGGGAUAACGCAGCGAAAGCUGUGCUAAUACCGCAUACGAUCUAUGGAUGAAAGCGGGGGACCGUAAGGCCUCGCGCGCUUGGAGCGGCCGAUGUCAGAUUAGGUAGUUGGUGGGGUAAAGGCUCACCAAGCCAACGAUCUGUAGCUGGUCUGAGAGGACGACCAGCCACACUGGAACUGAGACACGGUCCAGACUCCUACGGGAGGCAGCAGUGGGGAAUUUUGGACAAUGGGCGCAAGCCUGAUCCAGCAAUGCCGCGUGCAGGAAGAAGGCCUUCGGGUUGUAAACUGCUUUUGUACGGAACGAAACGGCGAGCUCUAAUACAGUUUGCUAAUGACGGUACCGUAAGAAUAAGCACCGGCUAACUACGUGCCAGCAGCCGCCGUAAUAC